GUGGGUAACCUGCCUGUAAGACUGGGAUAACUCCGGGAAACCGGGGCUAAUACCGGAUGGUUGUUUGAACCGCAUGGUUCAGACAUAAAAGGUGGCUUCGGCUACCACUUACAGAUGGACCCGCGGCGCAUUAGCUAGUUGGUGAGGUAACGGCUCACCAAGGCGACGAUGCGUAGCCGACCUGAGAGGGUGAUCGGCCACACUGGGACUGAGACACGGCCCAGACUCCUACGGGAGGCAGCAGUAGGGAAUCUUCCGCAAUGGACGAAAGUCUGACGGAGCAACGCCGCGUGAGUGAUGAAGGUUUUCGGAUCGUAAAGCUCUGUUGUUAGGGAAGAACAAGUGCCGUUCAAAUAGGGCGGCACCUUGACGGUACCUAACCAGAAAGCCACGGCUAACUACGUGCCAGCAGCCGCGGUAAUACGUAGGUGGCAAGCGUUGUC
rnacentral:rRNA from 1 species